UACGUAGGUGGCGAGCGUUGUCCGGAAUUACUGGGCGUAAAGGGCGUGUAGGCGGCCUUUUAAGUCAGAUGUGAAAUCUCAGGGCUUAACCCUGAAACUGCAUUUGAAACUGGAGGGCUUGAGGAUCGGAGAGGGCAGUGGAAUUCCCAGUGUAGCGGUGAAAUGCGUAGAUAUUGGGAGGAACACCAGUGGCGAAGGCGACUGCCUGGACGACACCUGACGCUGAGGCGCGAAAGCUAGGGUAGCGAACGGGAUUAGAUACCCCGGUAGUCCCU
rnacentral:rRNA from 1 species